rnacentral:rRNA from 1 species
GAUGAACGCUGGCGGCGUGCCUAAUACAUGCAAGUCGAGCGAACGGACGAGAAGCUUGCUUCUCUGAUGUUAGCGGCGCACGGGAGAGUAACACGUGGAUACCCUACCUAUAAGACUGGGAUAACUUCGGGAAACCGGCGCUUAUCGCGGAUAAUAUUUUGAACCGCAUGGUGCAAAAGUGAGAGACGGUCUUGCGGUCACGUCUAGCGGGAUCCGGGCUGCAUUAGAUAGUUGGUAAGGUAACGGCUUACGACGGGAACGAUGCGUGAACGAGCGGAGAGGGGGGUCGCCGACCUGGGAAGUGGGACACGGUCCAGAGUCCUACGGGAGGGCGCAGUAGGGAAUGUGCCGCAAUGGGCGGAAGCCUGACGCAGCAGCGCGGAGCGAGUGACGAAGGUCUUCGGAGCGUAAAGCUGUGUUAUGAGUGAAGAACAUAUGUGUAAGUAACUGUGCACAGAGUGACGGUAACUAAUAAGAAAGCCACGGCUAACUACGUG